AAACAUUGGCUGCAAAGAGCCAGACAUCAUCAAUUGGUGGGACGGAACUUGGCUGCCAAAGGGAGUCUGCCUGUAUAUCUGUCUGCCUGUA
rnacentral:miRNA from 1 species